AAUUUUUUCCUGGGGUCAGGGGAUGUGAUGGUGCAUGAUGGUGCAGAAGGCUAACUUAAUUUAAACUUAGUCACACAGAAGCAUCUCUAUACUACAGAACUGCCAAUAGUAUCUGCUCUUAUUCCAUAACAUUUACCAGUGUUAUGAAGCAUCAAAAAACCUGUUGCAAUUGCUGGCUUUGCCACUCUAGUUAACUAUUCUAUAUUUCAAAUCAGAUUCAUUUUCUGGGUUUCCAAACUUCUCGGGUUUCCAUCUUAUCUUGCUAUGACCCUAUCAAAUUAGUAUUUACUUCUGGUUGUUCCCCUUAAUCCUUGAGGUGGGGUGGCAAGCUUGCCUUUAUUACAGCAACAAGGAGAUGAGUAAGAUCUAGUUUUAGCCAAUCAUAGCUACUUUCAUUGCCCUUCACAAUGAAUGGUUUAAGCACUGACAUGGCAUACAGCAUUGGAUAAUGAGACACGAAAGGGAGUCUGUUGAAUGAUUCUUGGAAUGCUUCUCCUCACUGAUGAAACUUCAGAAGCCAUCUUGCAAUGAUGAGAAACAAGCCUAAGGAUGAAAGAAAACAGACUGAGGAUGUCAUGCUGACAAUGGGAAAAAAGUCCUGAAUCCCUCAUGAUGAUUUUAAGCUACUGAGUUAAUAAAUUCCUCAGUUCAACUGUAA